GGGGCAAUAGCGCUGGGCACUCCACGGGCUGCAAACCCGUUGGCCGGUUCCAAUAAAACCGGGGUGGGUUCGAUUCCCACUUGCCCCC
rnacentral:sRNA from 1 species